GACGAACGCUGGCGGCGUGCCUAAUACAUGCAAGUAGAACGCUGAAGCGAGGAGCUUGCUCUUCUUGGAUGAGUUGCGAACGGGUGAGUAACGCGUAGGUAACCUGCCUUGUAGCGGGGGAUAACUAUUGGAAACGAUAGCUAAUACCGCAUAACAAUGGAUGACCCAUGUCAUUUAUUUGAAAGGGGCAAAUGCUCCACUACAAGAUGGACCUGCGUUGUAUUAGCUAGUAGGUGAGGUAACGGCUCACCUAGGCGACGAUACAUAGCCGACCUGAGAGGGUGAUCGGCCACACUGGGACUGAGACACGGCCCAGACUCCUACGGGAGGCAGCAGUAGGGAAUCUUCGGCAAUGGGGGCAACCCUGACCGAGCAACGCCGCGGGAGUGAAGAAGGGUGUCGGAUCGUAAAGCUCUGUUGUAAGUCAAGAACGAGUGUGAGAGUGGAAAGUUCACACUGUGACGGUAGCUUACCAGAAAGGGACGGCUAACUACGUG
rnacentral:rRNA from 1 species